ensembl:lncRNA
UGAGAAAUACCCUACGACAGCCUAAAUUCAACCAAUCUUUGUGAUUAGAUGUCAGUGAAAAAGCUGCUCUCAAUAACAUUGAUAGUAAGAAAUAACAUGAGUCGUCAGGGCGAAUAUGUUAUGUAACAGAAAAGUCACGAGUUCAUAGGCCUAGAUAAACUGAGCUUCCAAAUGUCAAUUUCUGGCAGGUUAGCCCCAUUCAAUAACCUGACAGGAUUUGUUCCUUAAUUAUGUUACAUAUGAAACCCUGGGUACAUGUGCCCCUGCUUUAAGAGUUCUUUAAGAUUUAUUAUUUACUGUUGUGCAUAUGUUGGUUGUUGCCACGGUUUCUCUGCUGUGUUUUUGUUGUUUUGUUGUUUGUUUUUUCUUCAGCUGGAAGUUUUUGAACCAGAUUUUCAGUGGGAGUUUUAUUCCACUCUCUUUAGCAAAUGGUCGACUUGGGAAAGUAAAUCUGUUGGCCUACAAUUCUGUUGUUGUCUUAAGGUUUUUUUUGUUGUUGUUUUUUUUUUAAAGAUUGCAAUGAGUAGUACCCUAUUAUUUCAAGACAGAAAUGCUAAUUGGGACUUGACCCAUUUUGCAGAAAUCUUUUGUUAUUUGGUAAUUUUUGCCUUCAUAGAUAUUAAGCGGAAUUCAACACUGAAGGACAUUCUAAAAGCGGCAUUAUAGUGUAUGGGUGUAUUUCAUUUUCACCACAUCACUGAUUUUGAGAAGCCACUUCAAUUCAGAGUCAUCCAGGAUGUGAGUUUAGUUUUGAUUGAAGUGUAGUCAUGCCUUAAGCUAUUUAACUGUUUCAUUUUCAAUAAAAGAAUGGAAAGAGACCCGAGAAUCUAACAUGAUCAAAUUACAUUAAUAAACGAAAGCCGAGACGAGCACUUGAAGUUCAUCAUGAGAAAUGUUUUGGAAGGACAUGUUCUUAUUUUGUCAAGUGCUAUUGUCGAAUGAAUCCUGGCUGAAAAGAAAUUGAUUUUCAACUGAAUGAUUCAUGAAUAUAAUAGAAGGGAAAAGUUCAAGUUUGCAAGAGUGAUUGUGAAAAAUGUUGAAUGUGUAAAAAUUGAAGUAACAAUAAAA